AAAAAGGUAAUUUUUACAGAAAUUUUAAAAAUGGGUGUUUGAAUUGUUCAGACAAACUUUAGUUCAGUCUAAAAUCAAAAUCAUAUUACAGGGGAGGUAGACAUACACUAGACAUGGACUGGGUCAUGUUAUUACUUAGAAUGUAAUAGAAUUUUAACAACAAUUUUACAUGUUUUAUUAAAUUCUUUAAAAGAGCGGUGAACAGAAGAUCUCUGUGUAGAACUGUGGAAUUAAACAGUUUUAAAAUAAUGAGAUCGAUACAGAACCUUCAGUAGGUCUUCAGAGAAAAGGUUAAUGCGUCUGUUCUUCUCCCAUUAACGCAGGCCGCUCCCUACGACUCUGUCUGUCACAGAGCAGGAGGAACACAUCAGCUACUAGAGAGACCAACGUGAAAAAGUGCGCUUCCUCUCUGACCUGAAUCGAUGCAGGCAGAGACCAAGACAAUGACACGUUUAAAAAGGAGGAAGGAAAAUCAUUUGGAGGAUAAAAGUCAGAAUGUGCAUCACUGUGAAUCGUUACUCCUGCUGAUGUCUCAUCGGGUUCCUGGACAGACGGGGAAGAAGUGGUCAGGACCUGGAUUCAGAACGGAGGCUGAACAAAAAGCUUUGCAAGAAAUCCUUCUGUUGCAGGUCCCUCGUUCUCCCUGGAGCUCACCGACGGCUCGGACUCAGCUGCCUUCUAGCCACUGAUGGUCCGGAGAUUUCCUGCCAAUCUGCCAGCGAACACAGGACAUAGUAACACAUGUGACUCAUGGUCACAGUGUGAAAGUGCCAAAAUAAAUUGAUAUAUGUAUAUAUAAAAAAACAUUGUGCAGUAUGAAUAAAAAUCACAAAGGAGGGAG